rnacentral:rRNA from 1 species
GAUGAACGCUGGCGGCGUGCCUAAUACAUGCAAGUCGAGCGAACAGACGAGGAGCUUGCUCCUCUGACGUUAGCGGCGGACGGGUGAGUAACACGUGGAUCCCCUACCUAUAAGACUGGGAUAACUUCGGGACACCGGAGCUAAUACCGGAUAAUAUAUUGAACCGCAUGGUUCAAUAGUGAAAGACGGUUUUGCUGUCACUUAUAGCUGGAUCCGCGCCGCAUUAGCUAGUUGGUAAGGUAACGGCUUACCAAGGCGACGAUGCGUAGCCGACCUGAGAGGGUGAUCGGCCACACGGGAGCUGAGACACGGACCAGACUCCUACGGGAGGCAGCAGUAGGGAAUCUGCCGCAAUGGGCGAAAGCCUGACGGAGCAACGCCGCGUGAGUGAUGAAGGUCUUCGGAUCGUAAAACUCUGUUAUUAGGGAAGAACAAAUGUGUAAGUAACUAUGCACGUCUUGACGGUACCUAAUCAGAAAGCCACGGCUAACUACGUG